rnacentral:rRNA from 1 species
UACGUAGGGCGCAAGCGUUAUCCGGAAUUAUUGGGCGUAAAGAGCUCGUAGGCGGUUUGUCGCGUCUGCCGUGAAAGUCCGGGGCUCAACUCCGGAUCUGCGGUGGGUACGGGCAGACUAGAGUGAUGUAGGGGAGACUGGAAUUCCUGGUGUAGCGGUGAAAUGCGCAGAUAUCAGGAGGAACACCAAUGGCGAAGGCAGAUCUCUGGGCCGUAACUGACGCUGAGGAGCGAAAGCAUGGGGAGCGAAC